GCACCGCUNGAGGGCGGUAGGGGCUGGUGGAAUGCCUGGUGUANUGGUGAAAUGCGUAGAGAUCAGGCGGAACACCCGUGGCGAAGGCGAGCCAGCUGGGCCGACCCUGACGCUGAGGCGCGAAGGCGUGGGGAGCGNNACGAGAUUAGAUACCCCGGUAGUCCACGCCGUAAACGGUGGGCGCUAGGUGUGGGGGCCANUCCACGGUCUCUGUGCCGCANCUAACGCAU
rnacentral:rRNA from 1 species